rnacentral:rRNA from 1 species
GACAGAGGGUGCAAACGUUGUUCGGAAUUACUGGGCGUAAAGCGCGUGUAGGCGGCUCGGAAAGUCGGAUGUGAAAGCCCUGGGCUUAACCUAGGAAGUGCAUUCGAAACUCCCGAGCUUGAGUUCUGGAGGGGAAGGCGGAAUUCUCGGUGUAGAGGUGAAAUUCGUAGAUAUCGAGAGGAACACCGGUGGCGAAGGCGGCCUUCUGGACAGUGACUGACGCUGAGACGCGAAAGCGUGGGGAGCAAACAGG